CCGCCGGCGACCGGCGCACGGGUGAGUAACACGUAUGCAACCUGGCCGUGACAGAUGGAUAACCGGGAGAAAUCCCGCCUAAUACAGCAUGACGCCGGGAAGGGACAUCCCUUUCCGGCCAAAGGGGGCGACUCCGGUCACGGGUGGGCAUGCGGCGCAUUAGGUAGUUGGUGGGGCAACGGCCCACCAAGCCGACGAUGCGUAGGGGUUCUGAGAGGAAGGUCCCCCACAUUGGAACUGAGACACGGUCCAAACUCCUACGGAAGGCAGCAG
rnacentral:rRNA from 1 species